AUUCGUUCGCGAGACUACCAUGUAACAAACUUAAGGUGAACAUAUCAAAUGAUAAUGUUUCACCUUUGAUCUAUAUUCUAUACAGGGGAUUGUGUUACAUAGCAAGGGGGUAGAAUGGUAAUUGGGGGAGUAACAGACGAAGGGAGGUAGGAAGGGGAAGAAGAUGAAGAGCCACGUGUCACAUUAUCGACCCAUCCUCCUCCAUAUGGGUUGGCUGCCACUAGCGAGAAUUUGCCGUUGCGUCAGCAGAAGCCUCUCAGACUCUGACUGGGAUUUGUAUCCUCUCUUCGUUGACUCCGCUAUCAUCAUCCUUUGUUGUAUGGAAGAAGAAGAAGAAGAAGAAGCAGCAGCUUGAAGAUUACUCUCUCUCUUACUUACUGAAAAGCAAGCAUAAGCAUAAGCAUAAGCAUAAGCAUGGCUAUUGGUGGGUUGAUUUCAAACAGGAACUGUGGUUCCUUCAUAGCCUCCUCCUCAGCAUUGUGCCGGUCGUCUCAUCAACAAAGGCAAAGGCAGAUUUUAUGUCUCCAGCAUGAACUUGGACACAAGAGAAGAACUUUUGGAUGUUUCCUUUUAUCCGGACCUAGGUCUAGGGACAAGAGAUCUCCUGCUUCCUACAAAUCUGAGGAAAUAAGGCUUCCCCAUGGUGGCAGCAGUUUCCUAGGCGCUGGAUCAUCGUCCUCUUAUGCUUUGCUUCCUUCCUUCUUUGCAAUAUGGACCGUGUAAGUCUUUUUUUAUUUUCCAAAUUUGAUCUCUUAUCUCUUUUUGGUCCUAACUAACUAACUAGGGUGUUGCGAUGAACAAGAUGCUUUCUAAAUGGAUCCCUGUCUCAGAGAGAAGCACAUCACUUGCACUUGUCUAUAGUGGCAUGUAUCUCGGUUCUGUUACAGGACUUGGAUUCUCUCCUAUGCUGAUCCAUCAGUUUUCUAUUCCUUUGGCUCCCUUGGAAGUAUAUGGUUUCUGCUAUGGCUUAAAUAUGCAUAUAGCAAUUGGGUGGCAGAUCAUGCAAUCAAUUGGUUUUCUGGGUCCUGCAUUCUUCCUGUCUCAACUGAGCCGUGUCAAAACUCCAGCAAUGGCGGUUCUCUGCAUGGCAUGUAGUCAGUGAGAGGUACAGCUCUGAUGUGUUGUCCCCAAGCAGGGCUCUGAUGCAUUCUCUCAGUCGGGUCUCUACUCUAAUCAUCAAGACAUUGGCCCACGCUACGCUGGACCUGUGAACCAAUCAAACUAACCGGUUCGUAAGUUUCUGAGGAGGUUGGUGAAUCACGGAUGCCUGUGUAUGUUUUAAAGUCUUCACCAAAAUAAAUAGGACCGGUAGCUAAAUCUCCGACAUAUAUUGUAUUGUAUCCUCGUGA